rnacentral:rRNA from 1 species
UACGUAGGGGGCAAGCGUUGUCCGGAAUCAUUGGGCGUAAAGCGCGUGUAGGCGGCUAGGUAAGUCUGCUCUGAAAGCCCGGGGCUCAACCCUGGAAUGCCGGUGGAUACUGUCGGGCUAGAGUCCGGAAGGGGCGAGUGGAAUUCCUGGUGUAGCGGUGAAAUGCGCAGAUAUCAGGAGGAACACCAAUGGCGAAGGCAGCUCGCUGGGACGUGACUGACGCUGAGACGCGAAAGCGUGGGGAGCAAACAGG